AGCCCUUGAGUGUACGCACAUGAGGUUAGUACUUGUUUGAUGUUCUUGCUAUGCUGGUUAGAUAAAUUGCAUUGUUACUUCUUUAUUUUUAGUCAGUUGUAUUAAGAAACUACCAGAGAUUCUAUGAUGACUUUGUUUUUAACAAAGUAAAUACUACUUUGUUAGCAACCACAAUAGUUGAAUGGAAUAAAAUUGCAUCCUAUGGCUAGAAGCACAAAAUGAAACCAAAGUAUUAAAAAAUCAAAGUAACCAUAUAACUAGAAGACACCAGAAAAUUAUAUGUUUGUUGUUUAUGCAGCAAAAUAUUGGACAGGGUGGUG
rnacentral:misc_RNA from 1 species